CGGCGUUGCUUAACACAUGCAAGUCGAACGAGUACGAUUGAAAGCUUGCUUUUGAAAGUCGAGUGGCAAACGGGUGAGUAACGCGUAGACAACCUGCCUUUGAGAUGGGGACAACAGUCCGAAAGGACUGCUAAUACCGAAUGUUGUGGAACUUCCGCAUGGGAGCUCCACCAAGAUGACCUCUUCCUGAAAGUUAUCGCUCAAAGAUGGGUCUGCGUCUGAUUAGCUAGUUGGUGGGGCAACGGCCUACCAAGGCGACGAUCAGUAGCCGGUCUGAGAGGAUGAACGGCCACAUUGGAACUGAGACACGGUCCAGACUCCUACGGGAGGCAGCAGUGGGGAAUCUUCCGCAAUGGGCGAAAGCCUGACGGAGCAACGCCGCGUGAGUGAAGAAGGCCUUCGGGUCGUAAAGCUCUGUUGUCGGGGACGAAUGUGCGGAUUAUCAACAACGAUCUGCAAUGACGGUACCUGACGAGGAAGCCACGGCUAACUACGUG
rnacentral:rRNA from 1 species